GCUUCGGCCUUAUGGCGCACGGGUGCGUAACGCGUGGGAAUCUGCCCUUAGGUUCGGAAUAACAGCUGGAAACGGCUGCUAAUACCGGAUGAUAUCGCGAGAUCAAAGAUUUAUCGCCUGAGGAUGAGCCCGCGUUGGAUUAGGUAGUUGGUGGGGUAAAGGCCUACCAAGCCGACGAUCCAUAGCUGGUCUGAGAGGAUGAUCAGCCACACUGGGACUGAGACACGGCCCAGACUCCUACGGGAGGCAGCAGUGGGGAAUAUUGGACAAUGGGCGAAAGCCUGAUCCAGCAAUGCCGCGUGAGUGAUGAAGGCCCUAGGGUUGUAAAGCUCUUUUACCCGGGAAGAUAAUGACUGUACCGGGAGAAUAAGCCCCGGCUAACUCCGUGCCAGCAGCCGCGGUAAUACGGAGGGGGCUAGCGUUGUUCGGAAUUACUGGGCGUAAAGCGCACGUAGGCGGCUUUGUAAGUCAGAGGUGAAAGCCUGGAGCUCAACUCCAGAACUGCCUUUGAGACUGCAUCGCUUGAAUCCAGGAGAGGUCAGUGGAAUUCCGAGUGUAGAGGUGAAAUUCGUAGAUAUUCGGAAGAACACCAGUGGCGAAGGCGGCUGACUGGACUGGUAUUGACGCUGAGGUGCGAAAGCGUGGGGAG
rnacentral:rRNA from 1 species